AGGAGGAACAGCCCCAGUGGCGGGGCAGCUUUGGAGCCCUGGAUUCAGCUCCGGCAGGAACUCCGUCUGCAGGGCCUGGAGGCUCCGGGGCGGG
rnacentral:pre_miRNA from 1 species